CGGGCGGGGCCCAGCGGCUCCCCGGAGGCCAGGCCACCGCUCCCUUCCAGCUACCCUAGCUGGGGCACCAGAGAGAGAAAUCUAGGGCUGCUGUGCAACCCGCCAACCAGGCGCUGUCUGGAGGUGCUACCUGUCCGUUCAGGUCACCUGUGCGGGCUGAGAGGUCUCUGGACGCCAGUAGCGCAGGGUGCGUUUUCUUUUAGGAACAGAAAGAGCAAGCUCACCCGGACACGCACACACAGGCACAAACGCACCCUGACGACCAGGACAUGCUCAGACUUAUGCCGAACCACAGCCACAGCCACGGAGACACACCCGCGCCCGCUCAUUCUGGAGAUGACAGCUGUCUCCUGGUCCAACAGAGAGGUGGCUGUAAACAAACCCAGGAACACCCAGAAGCAGGAGGAAAGAAACACACAUAAGCGCUCCUGUGGAGACAUGGAGUGCGGACCACUCAGACACCGGUGUCCACAUCCAGUUCUCCACAGGAUCCCUCUGAGAUCUCUCCUCCUGGGUCUGGGAUACCCUGGACUACUAUGGCCGAUGUCUCUGCCAACAGUGCUUCCUUUAGUUGAUGAUGUUAAAACAUUGAUAUCUGGACCAUCCUCAGACAAGCUGCCAGUCACUUCGCCAUCACCUUGGCAACCGUGAAGUGGAGCAGCGCAACCAGCAAAGCUCUCCAAACAGGUGCUUAUGCCAGAUGAAUUUAAUUUCCUGCUAUGCUCCGGUUUUUAUGAGAGACACGCUAAUAAAUCCUCUGCAUCCCAGAGGCCUUGGACAAAAGGAGAAGGCAUUAAAAUUAGAACAAGGGAGGGGGAGGAGGCAGGAGGGAGGGGAUAAUUCAGUUGACCACAAACAGGACUCUUUGACCUGAAAAGAAAACCUUAAUCAUUCAAAGGGACUAAACAUCAACAGCUUUCUCGAUUGGCAUUUUGCAAGAGAAUUAAACCCCAUAGAAAAUU
rnacentral:lncRNA from 7 species